UGGGCUAUAGCCAAGUGGUAAGGCAGCGGGUUUUGGUCUCGUUAUCGUUGGUUCGAAUCCAGCUAGCCCAG
rnacentral:tRNA from 1 species